AGCAGGAGCAAGAGCAAGAGCAAGAGCAAGGGUGGGGCCAGAAGUCUGAGUAGAGUUGGGGCGAGAAGCAGGGGUUGGGCGACGCGCCGAAACUUGGUAGGCUGUCUGAAGGUGGCUCCCGGGCGCAGUCUGGCUGGCAGGUGUUGACCCCCUCUUCAGGUUGGAGUCACGUUGCACGCUGCCCCGCGAUGUAUCCUGCUGGCCCUGCGUGGCCGAGACUCCGAAUUCUGCGGGCGCUCUGGGCACUACUGGCGGUACUAUUUGCAUCGUGGAGGCUGUGGGCGUUCCAGGAUAUCCAGGAGUGCACCUGGCAGGUUGUCCUGAACAAGUUCGAGACGGUAGGCAAGAGUGGUGUGAGCGACCGUUUCUUCCAUCAACAGCCCGUGGCGACACUGGACAGUGUGUUUAGCCCGCUGGUGGAUGCACCCACCGACCAGGGCGAGAAAUACCUGAGCUUCCCAUACUACCUGAAGAUCAACUACUCCUGCAAUGGAGAGUCCUCCGAGGCCCAGGUCCGCAAGGGCCACCUGACGGGGCUGAAGCCCGUGGUGCUGGUGACCUUCCAGUCCCCAGUCAAUUUCCAUCACUGGAAGAUAGAACAGCUGCAGAUCCAGAUGGAGGCAGCCCCCUUCCGCAGCGAAGAGCAGCAGUGCACCGCAGAGCAGGUGUGUGUCAUGAGCUGGUACACGCCCAUGCCCAUCAAGAACGGCAGCGUGCUCAUGCGCGUGGACGUCAGCAGCAACGGCCUGGGGCCUUUCAUUCCCACAAAAAGGUUCCAGGUGAACAUCAACGGCUUCCUGCAGAGACAGCAAGACAACACCCUCCACUUCACUGUGGGAAAUGAGAUCUUCAAUCUCAUACCCCGGUACUUCAUGAAUGUCCCGUCGAGGCCCCUGUGGUACACUGUGGACCAGGCACCAGUGCUCAUCCUGGGGGGCAUCCCUGAAGAGAAGUCUGUUCUGCUGACUGACACCAGCUUCAAGGACUCCUUUCUCGUGGAGUUGAACAUUGACAGUUGCUGGGUAGGCUCCUUCUACUGCCCUCAGGCAAUUUUUACGGCUACCAUCUAUGACGCCAUUGCCACCGAAAGCACUCUCUUCAUCCGGCAGAACCAGCUGGUCUACUAUUUUACAGGCACUUACCUCACCCUCCAUGAAAGCAACCACGGCAGUGGGAGCUGGGUUCGUGUCCUGGCCAACGAGUGCAUCAAGAGCCUGUGCCCCGUGCAUUUCCAUAGCAAUGGCUCAGAGUACGUCAUGGCCCUCACCUCUGGCAAGCGGGAAGGUUAUGUCCACUUUGGGACCAUCACAGAUGGCCACGUGUCCUUCCAGGUGCUGCCCAAGCAUCGGUCUGUGUGCGAAGGGAUACAAGUUUUCAACUGCUCCAUAAUCUGGGCCGUAUUCAUUGCUGGUGACUACAUUCUCCUGAUGCUGGUGGAGCUCCAAGACCCCACCACCAGGAAUUAUUUCCAGGUGGUCAGCUACGACUUGGUCAGUGAUAACCUGGUGAUCCUCUACACCAUCCCGGAAUUCAUCCCUGAUGCUCGAGGCCUGGAGUUUCUGAUGAUCCUAGGAACAGAGUCUUACACCAACUUCACGAUGGUACCCAAGGGCAUGUUCUACAACCCGUAUAACAACCUGCUCUUCAUCUGGGGCAACUUCCUCCUGCAGAGCUACAACAAUGAAAACUUCAUCUACCUGGCGGAUUUCCCCAAGGAUCAGUCCAUUAAGUACCUGGUCAACUCGUUCCAUGGAGAAACAGCUAUUGUCACAGAGACGGAGGAGAUCUGGUACCUCCUGGAGGGCAGCUACCGGAUGUACAGGCUAUUCCCAUCCAAAGCCUGGGAGGUGCAUGUCAGCCUACAGGUGAUGCAACAGUCCUCUUUCUACACCCACAUUGAGACCAUGGUCACCCUCUUCUACGAAGACCACCAACUGUACCAGCUGGUGUAUCUCAUGAAUGAUGGGCAGGGCCGGCUUGUCAAGAGGCUUGUGCCUGUGGAGCAGCUCCUGAUGUACCAGCAGCCGGGCAGUCACUACCUCUUGGAGCAACGGGGGAACCACCUGACGCUGUCCUUCACCGACUUCUGCCCCUUCACCGUAAUGCGCUUGCGCGACCUGCCCAACCCGCAGAUCUAUACUCGCCAGGAGCGCUACCGGGCACGCCCGCCCCGCGUGCUGGAGCCCUCGGGCUUCCACGACCAGAACUCGCUCGCCGUCUACCAGGGCCUCGUCUACUACCUGCUUUUUCUGCACUCCAAGUACCACAAGCCUUACGCGGACCCGGUGCACGACUCCACCUGGCGCUGGUGGAAGAACAAGAAAGUGGACCAGGAUUACUACUUCUAUCUGGCUAGCAACUUGCAGAGCGCGAGUAACGUGUACAUUGACAUGGCCAGCUACGAGAAGAUCUACGACCUCAAGGCCGAGCACGAGCUGCCCGAGCGCAUCUACCUGGACAAAGGCACCAGCUACGGCUUCUCCAUCUUCGUGACCGUCCGCGGACACUCGUUAGAGUUCCAGCCGGAGCGCGUGCUCACCACCUUAGAGCUGCGCAGCAAAGUGGAUCUGGGCGUGGUGCUGGCCGAUGCGGACUGCAUCGAGGUGGUGGUAGACCAGAAGGUCCUCAUUAAUCGCAACUCGGUGCUUUUCUGGGUUACGCUCCGUGAUAAAAGGUCUUGCUUUGAUCAGGGCCUUAGUGGACAUCACCUCAUGAAGACGUCCGUGUUGGUCAAGGUGGUGGGCGCGGUCGGGCACUGCUUCGAGAACACACAUCGGGGACUCCACAUGCAAGGCAACUUGAUGAUUCCAUUGCUCAUCGGCUGUCCCCCAGGCAAGCGCCUGGCCUUCGACAUCACCUACACGGUGGAGUACAACCGUCUACAGAACAAACACUACUUUGACUGCGUGCAUGUUGACCCUGAGAUGCCCUGCUUCCUCUUCCGUGAUACCUUCUACCCUUUCUUCUUGAUCCAAGACUUGGUGACAGGAGAGUCGGGCAGUUUUCAGGGCAGCUACGUGUUCAAGGUGGUAGGCGGUGGGCCCACGAUGGACACUCUCAUUGAAUACAGCGAGGAAGAGAUUUACCGCUUCAACAGCCCCUUGGACAAAACUAACAGCCUCAUCUGGACCACCAAGAACACAACGACCACAAACGACUCAGCCUUCAACAUCAUGACCCACCAGAGUUUGGGCAUUGAGAGACCUCUUGAUUUUCAAGCCACUGACUGCCUUCGUGUCCUUCAAAUGGGGUGACUCUUUGUCUGCAGGGCUGGUCCCUCUUCCUCUUUCUUCAGGCUUAGGUCCCUUCAUCCAGGGAGACUUUUCUGCCAUUCUAAAUGGGACAUUGGUUCCCAUGUCCUCCUGUGCUUUGCCCCUUCUAACCCUCACCUCUCUGCUUGUACUUCCCCCAUCCCAACCUGCCCCUCUGGGCUGUCCCUCUCUCUUGUGGGGUCUAUCUCCCUUAUAGGUCCAGGUCCUGAUAGACUAAACAUAGUAUUUGUUGAAUGAGAAAAUGAAGGAAUUCAUUCAUUCAUGGUAGGCAUUUAUUGACAUUUGAAUGGAGGUCAUGAUGAAUGAAUAAAACAAUGGAGGAACAAAUUAAAAUACAGAGGCUCAUUAACUAUUUUUGAUUCAGUGAAAGUAAGAAAAUGAUACCAUGAGCAAAUGAAGGAAGUGAAUGAAUGAAUGGAGCAACCAACUUGCACCAAGUCAGUAGUCAACCUAACUUACUGAAUAAGUGAAUAAAGGAAAGCAUAAACGAAUGGAGAUAUGACUUUGUGCCUAGCAGGUACUCAAGGUAUAUUUGUGGGAUGAAGGAAUGAAGGCAGCAAGGAAAAAAUGAUGAGUUGGGACAUGAUAGAUACACACUCUGUAAUCUAGAGGAUUGCAUUGUAAUGGAGGAAUUGGCAGAUGGCGAUGUUAAGGCGGGAGGUCAUGAAUGAGUGAACAGCCCAUCACAUGGUAGACAUGGAGUCAGCCUUACUGGAUGAAUGAAUGAAGGAGAGAAUCAGGGGAAGGGGUGGCUGUGUCUGGAGAACUCCCCCUGCCAUGACACCAUUCCCCACAGCAUCUUUGCCCCCGAGUUCUUCUUUAAGGUGUUGGUGAGCAACAGAGGUGUGGACAAGAGCACA